rnacentral:rRNA from 1 species
AUUGAACGCUGGCGGCAGGCCUAACACAUGCAAGUCGAACGAGUGGCGGACGGGUGAGUAAUGUCUGGGAAACUGCCUGAUGGAGGGGGAUAACUACUGGAAACGGUAGCUAAUACCGCAUACCAUUAGAGGUGCCCAGAUGGGAUUAGCUAGUUGGUGGGGUAACGGCUCACCAAGGCGACGAUCCGUAGCUGGUCUGAGAGGAUGACCAGCCACACUGGGACUGAGACACGGUCCAGACUCCUACGUGAGGCAGCAGUGGGGAAUAUUGGACAAUGGGGGCAAGCCUGAUGCAGCCAUGCCGCGUGUAUGAAGAAGGCCUUCGGGUUGUAAAGUACUUUCGGCGGGGAGGCGUUACCCGCAGAAGAAGCACCGGCUAACUCCGUGCCAGCAGCCGCGGUAAUUC